AUUGAACGCUGGCGGCAUGCCUUACACAUGCAAGUCGAACGGUAACAGCACUUCGGUGGCUGACGAGUGGCGAACGGGUGAGUAAUACAUCGGAACGUGCCCGAGAGUGGGGGAUAACGCAGCGAAAGCUGUGCUAAUACCGCAUACGAUCUACGGAUGAAAGCAGGGGAUUCGCAAGGACCUUGCGCUCAUGGAGCGGCCGAUGGCAGAUUAGGUAGUUGGUGGGAUAAAAGCUUACCAAGCCGACGAUCUGUAGCUGGUCUGAGAGGACGACCAGCCACACUGGGACUGAGACACGGCCCAGACUCCUACGGGAGGCAGCAGUGGGGAAUUUUGGACAAUGGGCGAAAGCCUGAUCCAGCCAUGCCGCGUGCAGGAUGAAGGCCUUCGGGUUGUAAACGUAGCUUUUGUUACGGAACGAAAAGAUACUCUUCUAAUAAAGGGGGUACCAUGACGGUACCGUAAGAAUAAGACACCGGCUAACUACGUGCCAG
rnacentral:rRNA from 1 species